rnacentral:rRNA from 1 species
UACAGAGGGUGCAAGCGUUGUUCGGAAUUAUUGGGCGUAAAGGGCGCGUAGGCGGUGCGGUAAGUCUGUAGUGAAAUCUCUGGGCUCAACUCAGAGUCUGCUGCAGAAACUGCCGUGCUUGAGUGUGGGAGAGGUGAGUGGAAUUCCCCGGUGUAGCGGUGAAAUGCGUAGAUAUCGGGAGGAACACCUGUGGCGAAAGCGGCUCACUGGACCACACUGACGCUGAGGCGCGAAAGCUAGGGGAGCAAACAGG